AUGCCCGUAGGAACUCAGUCAGGGGGGAGCGCCCCGCCUUUUCCGGUACAGGGUGUCAUGGCGGCGCCCAGCUCGGCCGUCCUCGCCUCGUUUUCUUUUCCGGUCGCAGAACCGGCAAGCAGCCCAUUCCCUUUAGGCCCCACCUGUCAUGGCGGCGCCCUGUCUCUCCUUCCGGCCCCGCCUCUAUUGGCGGCGCCUGCGCAGUCCGCGGCCCCCUCCCCGCCCGCCCGCCGGCAGUCGGCUAGUCGCUGCAGCCCUUCCUACUUCCGGCUUGCGGAGGCCGCGCGGGAAUGCGCCGGAAAUGCGGGACGCCUUCUGCUGCGUGCGCUCCUAGCCACGCCCCCCGCCGGAGCAGGUAGCGAGCGGCCGCAGUGGCCUCUCCGCUGGGCGCCGCGGCUGCGCGGGACUCAGAGCCGGGCGCCUGGAGCCGCGGGGCCGCCUUCCGUCUCGCUCAAGCGGGUUCUUGGGGUUGAGGCACAGGAGAUGUGGAUUCAGAAGCUGCAGCUGAUGAGUGGGUCCUGGUGCCGAUCUCUUUGAGGUCCUCGGGAGCUGUGGGCCACAGGCUGAAAAGAAGUGAUCCUAAAAAAAUUGGGAGACUUGGAACAACAUACCUCCACUAUGGGAUUGUGAUAUAGGCAGAGACUGGAAUGGG
rnacentral:lncRNA from 12 species